rnacentral:rRNA from 1 species
GACGAACGCUGGCGGCGUGCUUAACACAUGCGAGUCGAACGGAAAGGCCCUGCUUUUGUGGGGUGCUCGAGUGGCGAACGGGUGAGUAACACGUGAGUAACCUGCCCUUGACUUUAGGAUAACUUCAGGAAACUGGGGCUAAUACCGGAUAGGAGCUCCUGCUGCAUGGUGGGGGUUGGAAAGUUUCGGCGGUUGGGGAUGGACUCGCGGCUUAUCAGCUUGUUGGUGGGGUAGUGGCUUACCAAGGCUUUGACGGGUAGCCGGCCUGAGAGGGUGACCGGCCACAUUGGGACUGAGAUACGGCCCAGACUCCUACGGGAGGCAGCAGUGGGGAAUAUUGCACAAUGGGCGGAAGCCUGAUGCAGCAACGCCGCGUGCGGGAUGACGGCCUUCGGGUUGUAAACCGCUUUCGCCUGUGACGAAGCGUGAGUGACGGUAAUGGGUAAAGAAGCACCGGCUAACUACGUG